CGCUAUCACUCCGUACGGGAGGCAGCAGUGGGGAAUAUUGCACAAUGGGGGAAACCCUGAUGCAGCCAUGCCGCGUGUGUGAAGAAGGCCUUCGGGUUGUAAAGCACUUUCAGUAGGGAGGAAGGUAGUGUAGUUAACACCUGCACUAUUUGACGUUACCUACAGAAGAAGCACCGGCUAACUCCGUGCCAGCAGCCGCGGUAAUACGGAGGGUGCGAGCGUUAAUCGGAAUUACUGGGCGUAAAGCGCAUGCAGGCGGCCUGUUAAGUCAGAUGUGAAAGCCCGGGGCUUAACCUCGGAAUUGCAUUUGAAACUGGCAGGCUAGAGUCUUGUAGAGGGGGUAGAAUUUCAGGUGUAGCGGUGAAAUGCGUAGAGAUCUGAAGGAAUACCAGUGGCGAAGGCGGCCCCCUGGACAAAGACUGACGCUCAGAUGCGAAAGCGUGGGGAGCAAACAGGAUUAGAUACCCUGGUAG
rnacentral:rRNA from 1 species